GACACGAUUUGACGAGGCAAGUCGAAACGAGGCGAGGCGAGGCCAGGCAAAAACGAGGACGAGAGGAAAAGAGACGUCGGAAUUGAAGCAUAGGCGACCAGAAGGGAGAGAGGCCGAGAGAGGUAUAGUUGGGUGAGGUAAGGUGAGGAGUGUGGUGCAGUUCCCGUAACAGGUGUAGAUUCCAUCCAGCAUCUGGAAGAAAAACCUGCAGCCACCGCCGCCGCCGCCACCACCACCACCGCCACCACCUCCUCCUCCACCACCGUUUUCUCUACUGCCGCCACCGCUGCUGCCACCGCCGCCACCACCUUCACUGUCUUCUCCGCCGCCGUCACCACUGCGAAGAUCACCACAACUCGGCGAACGGAGACGCAUAGGCGUAUCCAACACCAAUAAUAUUUACCUCAACAAGAAACUCGCACAAGAAAUAUUGUAUCUUUAGAUUUUAGAAGAGGCGUAAUCCGAUCAUAUUACACGCACCAUCAAUCUAGCAGUGUCAGGGCCACACUCGACACCUUGCUUCUACAAUUAUCCGUUCCGUUUUUAUAGAAAUAUAAUCGAGGAGAGUUAAUCCAAUUCCUUGUUGCCUUCAUUCCAGGGGAGCACUUGCCAUGUACCUACGUAUCACAGAUCUAUACGUGCGUACACGCUCUCUCUUUUGCGCGCCACACCUAUGUCGUUAAACAGUAUAUCACGGUUCGACGUUUCUUCGUUCGUGUUCCGGGGCUUCUUAUUUGUUCAUCGAGAUCCGAAAAUGAUGUCCUUUCACGCGUUUCGCACUUUUAAAUCUCUCGACGAUCGGGUUCGAUAUUAUUGUUUGAACAGAGCCGAUGCGCGUACUUGCUACGGACCCGAGCCAAUAAUGUAAACGAUUUCGGAAAUUGUUUCGUAACAAUUGAAUGGUUGCACAUACGACCGCACGUGACUGGCAAACGUUGUACGUUUAUCACAAUGUACUCGGUGUAGCUAGAAUUUGUCUACAUUCUGUCCACAAACAACGUCCGCGUACCUGUGUUAGACAGGUUUUUGAUUAUUGCACAGGGGUCUGCUGCUGGCUUUUGCACUCUACGCGAUUCGAAUGCCCUCUGGCGGUCUUUCGUCAAACUGCGAUUGUGACCGUUGCGCAGCGUUCAAACUAAAAAAUUAGAGCCAUAAAAGCAGAACGAAACAUGUGUAGUGUUCGCUCUUUUCCUUUUGCGGUACGGAUCAAGUGUAUUGACAGAGAGACUGGUCAUGGAAAAGCAGAUAUUUUACUUUUAGCCAGACUACAUUAUUGACAUUAUAAGGAAAUUUUUUUAUUUACAUGCUAAUCAAAAAUAUAUUUGUUUUCACAUUAAUGCUAUUAUGUCGUAAUACAAACGGCAAAUUGUAUAAAUAUUUAACUAAUAUUUAACUAAUUGUAAUUCAUUCGUAUAUAAUUAAUAAUAAUUAACAAAUUUAUGAAUUAAGAAAAAUUGAUUAAAAUGAUGUGUCAAUGAUAUCGAA